ACCAACUCCAGUCAUUAGCCUUUACUCAUUUAUUUGCAGAACAGGAAACAAGUCCUGUUUCACUUGCAGAUGGCAAAAGAAAUGAAACCAUGAAGAGUAGAUGGAAAUAAACAAA